GAAAUUUUAAAAUAACAAUUGCAAACUAACAACAAUUCUCUUAGAAAAAAUUUCAUCCCAGAAGUAGUGAAGCACAAAAAUUUUCAGAGAAGCACAGAAGCAAAAUAAAAAAAAAUAAAUCAAAACCAUUUGAGCUUAACCGUAUCUCACGCUUUUAACAAGAACAAUGCUAGUCUGCACCUUCUCAGUUUCUCAUCUCGAGGAAGAAGAGCGAUAGGUCAUGGGUAGAUCAACAA
rnacentral:misc_RNA from 1 species